rnacentral:rRNA from 1 species
CUACGGGUUGCUGCAGUGAGGAAUUUUGCGCAAUGGGGGGAACCCUGACGCAGCAACGCCGCGUGAGUGAUGAAGGCUUUCGGGUCGUAAAGCUCUGUCAAGUGGGAAGAACCUAUGCAGUGUUAAUAUCACUGUAUACUGACGGCACCACUGAAGGAAGCACCGGCUAACUCCGUGCCAGCAGCCGCGGUAAUACGGGGGGUGCAAGCGUUAUUCGGAAUCAUUGGGCGUAAAGGGCACGUAGGCGGCUUGGUAAGUCAGAUGUGAAAGCCCGGGGCUUAACCCCGGAAGUGCAUUUGAUACUGUCAGGCUUGAGUAUGGGAGAGGGAAGUGGAAUUCCUGGUGUAGAGGUGAAAUUCGUAGAUAUCAGGAGGAACACCGGUGGCGAAGGCGACUUCCUGGACCAAUACUGACGCCGAGGUGCGAAGGCGUGGGUAGCAAACAGGAUUAGAUACCCGAGUAGUC